rnacentral:rRNA from 1 species
AUAGAUACCCAGGUAGUCCACGCCGUAAACGAUGAAUACUAGGUGUAGGAGGUAUCAACUCCUUCUGUGCCGCAGUUAACACAAUAAGUAUUCCGCCUGGGAAGUACGAUCGCAAGAUUAAAACUCAAAGGAAUUGACGGGGGCCCGCACAAGCAGCGGAGCAUGUGGUUUAAUUCGAAGCAACGCGAAGAACCUUACCUGGACUUGACAUCCCCUGCAUAGUGCAGAGAUGCAUGAAGCCCUUCGGGGCAGGGAGACAGGUGGUGCAUGGUUGUCGUCAGCUCGUGUCGUGAGAUGUUAGGUUAAGUCCUGCAACGAGCGCAACCCCUGUUGUUAGUUGCUAACAUUUAGUUGAGCACUCUAGCAAGACUGCCGCGGUUAACGCGGAGGAAGGUGGGGAUGACGUCAAAUCAUCAUGCCCCUUAUGUCCAGGGCAACACACGUGCUACAAUGGGCAGUACAGAGAGAUGCAAGACCGCGAGGUGGAGCAAACCUACAAAAACUCGCCCCCAGUUCGGU